UGGGGAAUCUUGGACAAUGGGCGAAAGCCUGAUCCAGCCAUGCCGCGUGCAGGAUGACGGUCCUAUGGAUUGUAAACUGCUUUUUGUACAGGAAGAAACAGUUCUACGUGUAGAACCUUGACGGUACUGUAAGAAUAAGGAUCGGCUAACUCCGUGCCAGCAGCCGCGGUAAUACGGAGGAUCCAAGCGUUAUCCGGAAUCAUUGGGUUUAAAGGGUCCGUAGGCGGUUAGAUAAGUCAGUGGUGAAAGCCCAUCGCUCAACGGUGGAACGGCCAUUGAUACUGUCUGACUUGAAUUAUUAGGAAGUAACUAGAAUAUGUAGUGUAGCGGUGAAAUGCUUAGAGAUUACAUGGAAUACCAAUUGCGAAGGCAGGUUACUACUAAUGGAUUGACGCUGAUGGACGAAAGCGUGGGUAGCGAACAGGAUUAGAUACCCCCGUAGUCCCUGAGCGGGCUGGCAAGGCGCAU
rnacentral:rRNA from 1 species